CCUGAGAAACUCAAAAGAUCGAAUGAGGAGAUUCAUCGUUAACACAUUUUUAUAUAUAUGAAUUAUGAUAUGGGUUACUCUUUGAGUAUUGCUUGUACAUAUUUGUAUAUUUGAAGAUGUUGUCGGCGUGCACUUCUCCUCUAGUAGAACAUCGCGACCCGUUGAAAGUUGGUUUGUGGCCUAAUUGGUAGUCUUUAUUGUCAUUGACUUUGAAGACCUUUUGGUGACCUAACCGGCAUUUGGCGGUACUCGUACGGUAUUUAGUCGCAUUUAUGCGUUCAUAUCUAUUGCAAGCGAGGUUAGUUUUGGUAACCGGACUUUGUGCCGUCGCUAGAACUCACCCGUUGUUGGUAAUAUGAUGUUAGAACUGACUAAAAUUAUUUAUAUACCGGUCGGCGAUGCUACUGCUUUGGGUACUUUCAGGACCCGUCUUGAAACACGGACCAAGGAGUCUAACAUGUACGCAAGUCAUUGGGAUUAUUUAAAUUAAACCUAAAGGCGUAAUGAAAGUAAAAGUCAUCCUUGCGGUGACUGAGGAAAGAUAAGUUAUGUUAAGAUAUAACUUCGCACUUCUGGGGCGUCUCAUUCUUAUUAUAAGAAGAGGCGCACCUAG
rnacentral:rRNA from 1 species